rnacentral:ncRNA from 1 species
AUUAGGCGGGAGCCUGCGGCUUAAUUUGACUCAACACGGGGAAACUCACCAGGUCCAGACACAAUAAGGAUUGACAGAUUGAGAGCUCUUUCUUGAUUUUGUGGGUGGUGGUGCAUGGCCGUUCUUAGUUGGUGGAGUGAUUUGUCUGCUUAAUUGCGAUAACGAACGAGACCUUAACCUGCUAAAUAGCUACACUAGCUUUUGCUGGUUGGUGGCUUCUUAGAGGGACUAUCGUGCUUAAAGCCGAUGGAAGUUUGAGGCAAUAACAGGUUAACAUAUAUUACAGGCCUGUAAAAGCAACGCCUAGAGUUUGCUAGUUCAAAGUGUUCACUCGCGUGGAGAAGCCUCCAAUAUCGGGCGCGAGACAGUGCUAACUGUUCACUUGAGCAACACCAGCUGGUACAGGGAACGCCUAACUCACGAUUAGUGAGCGGCCGAUCCUGUGGCGAGUUCAGGUAGCGCUGGACCGUCGCAACGCACGCUAAGCGGUGGGUCGUUUGCAUAUGCAGACGGCUUAAGGUACGUGCUAUCCCCCUAGGAAACUAGGGUUCUUAUUCGAGGACCGACUAGCCAAAGAAUAAGGAGCAAGAAUAAAUAUGUCUAUUAAAUCAUCUGCCUACAGUUCAGUUGCCGUGCGACUUUCGAGUCUAAUAAUGCACGGUGGUGAAUGUCGGCACUCUUCUGCUGCUAGAAGAUAGCCUAUGCCGUUGAAUGAUGUUUUUAUGUGUACUUUUGCAGAGCAUAUCUUCCGACUCUCAUUAGCUUCCUUUGACUCAAUGACCAGGUGAUCUGGAUUGAUGCAGAUGGGCUGAUGGCAUAAGUGAGAUGCGUGAUAUCCUUUGUAGAGUAAGUUGUAUACAUCAUUGUCACUGACGGUAGUUAGAGAUGAAUCAUUGAAUAGAGACGAUUAAUUACCUCUUGGUCAGAUAGCAUAUUAUGCGAUGGGCUAACUGGGGACUGUCUUUGAUUUUCUUUGGUUCAUUCUUCUUGGCUCUAGUAGUAGAGAGAACAGCUGGUUGGAUUUGAAUGUAUCCAUUUACCUGUCGAUUUGAUUUCUUCUGAGUGAGAUGGCAUCCAUUGGGUGUAAUCAAAGCUGGUGGAUAGGAUGCACCACUCUUGUCAGUGUAUCCAUGUCGAAGUCGCUCAAUUGAAGUAAUCCAUCUUUGUCUGGCAAUUUGCUUAUAAGGAUGAUUGACUAGGCUGUUGGUGUUAUGCUUUUCUUCCAAGGGAGGCAUUGAAGAUAGAUAGUGUCUUGCGGGGAAAUGCUGUGAUGCCCUUAGAUGUUCUGGGCCGCACGCGCGCUACACUGACGGAGCCAGCGAGUUUACCUUGGCCGAGAGGCUUCUGGGGAAUCUUGUGAAACUCCGUCGUGCUGGGGAUAGAGCAUUGCAAUUAUUGCUCUUCAACGAGGAAUUCCUAGUAAGCGCAAGUCAUCAGCUUGCGUUGAUUACGUCCC